rnacentral:rRNA from 1 species
UACGGGGGGGGGCAAGCGUUGUUCGGAAUUACUGGGCGUAAAGGGCUCGUAGGCGGCCAACUAAGUCGGAUGUGAAAUCCCCAGGCUCAACCUGGGAACUGCAUCCGAUACUGGAUGGCUUGAAUUCGGGAGAGGGAUGCAGAAUUCCAGGUGUAGCGGUGAAAUGCGUAGAUAUCUGGAGGAACACCGGUGGCGAAGGCGGUGGUCUGGGCCGUAACUGACGCUGAGGAGCGAAAGCGUGGGUAGCAAACAGG